rnacentral:rRNA from 1 species
GAUGAACGCUGGCGGCGUGCCUAAUACAUGCAAGUCGAGCGAACGGACGAGAAGCUUGCUUCUCUGAUGUUAGCGGCGGACGGGUGAGUAACACGUGGAUAACCUACCUAUAAGACUGGGAUAACUUCGGGAAACCGGAGCUAAUACCGGAUGAUAUUUUGAACCGCAUGGUUCAAAAGUGAAAGACGGUCUUUCUGUCACUUAUAGAUGGAUCCGCGCUGCAUUAGCUAGUUGGUAAGUUAACGGCUUACCAAGGCAACGAUGCAUAGCCGACCUGAGAGGGUGAUCGGCCACACUGGAACUGAGACACGGUCCAGACUCCUACGGGAGGCAGCAGCAGGGAAUCUUCCGCAAUGGGCGAAAGCCUGACGGAGCAACGCCGCGUGAGUGAUGAAGGUCUUCGGAUCGUAAAACUCUGUUAUUAGGGAAGAACAUAUGUGUAAGUAACUGUGCACAUCUUGACGGUACCUAAUCAGAAAGCCACGGCUAACUACGUG